rnacentral:rRNA from 1 species
CUAUGCGCCUUGCCAGCCCGCUCAGGUGUGCCAGCCGCCGCGGUAAUACGUAGGGAGCGAGCGUUGUCCGGAAUUACUGGGUGUAAAGGGAGCGUAGGCGGGGAUGCAAGUUGGGUGUCAAAACUACCGGCUCAACUGGUAGUCGCACUCAAAACUGCAGCUCUUGAGUGAAGUAGAGGCAGGCGGAAUUCCUAGUGUAGCGGUGAAAUGCGUAGAUAUUAGGAGGAACACCAGUGGCGAAGGCGGCCUGCUGGGCUUUACUGACGCUGAGGCUCGAAAGUGUGGGGAGCAAACAGG